GGCGCCACCGCGCCAGAGAGAGAGAGAAAGAGCAGAGGGAGCGAGUACUGCCGGUACGCCGGUACAUUCCAACGUGUUUCUUUGAGCUUUGUGCGUGCUUCUUCCAUGUCGGUUUGGUGCGCCAUUUUGUCUUUUUUUUGCGUGGCGUGCGAGUGCCUGUGCAACGCGCGUGUGUGCUUUGGAGCUGCAGCCUCAAGUCGAGUGCACGGGUAAAGGUUCACAGGACAGGUCUGAAAGGUCAACCUCAAUCAUAUUUGGCUGUGGAUAUCACUGCAACUUUGGCACUCGACCAAGCGAGGUACAUUGGACAGAUCAACCGGACCAAAAGGCACCGGGGUAAAAGAGAAGGGAGCGGAACAGGACCAAGGGUGCUCAGCCUUAUCAAAGUGCUUUGAAUAAUAAAUGUG